rnacentral:lncRNA from 1 species
GGGACUAGGCCGGAGGCAGCGGGGGACCGGCAGGUGGGCCGCUCAGUGCGUUGAAGGAUUCGAUCCCCAGUCCCUCCCUCCCAGUUCUAGGCGCCCCAAACCGCUCCAGGCCUGAGAGGCUGUAGGUUCCAUGAGGACAGGCCUUGAGUCUGUCCUGGUCUCUGGAAUCACGGUGUCUAGUAGAGGCCAGCACACAGCAAAUAUAUAAAUGUACAAAUGAGUGAAUGAAGAGAAUCUGAUUGGCCUUAAGGAACUUACGCACUUAAAAUAAUUGGGCAGAAGAGAAGCAGUGAAGGAGUGCAGAGGCAUCACCUGAAAGCCGGGCGUGGUGGCACAUGCUGUAAUCCCAGCUACUCCGGAGGCUGAGGCAGGAGAAUCGCUUGAACCUGGGAGGCGGAGGUUGUGGUGAGCCAAGUUUACAAGUCCUUCCACUUUCUCUCUGAGGCAGAAAGAGCAAGGGUUUUUCUCUCCAUUUUAUGGUUGGGAAAAUUGAGGCCUGCCUGAGUGUGUGACUUGUGGCAAGUCACUCUGGUCAUCUAGGGCAGAGGCUCCCCAGAUCCCAGGCCUCCUGCCUCCAGUCCCCAGCCCGCAGCCCAGGAUUAGGCAGAGCCAGCUGCUUUCCCGUGGCUGCCCUGACUCCUUACAGGGAUCACUGAGAUUCUGAUGAACAGACCUUCUGCCCGCAAUGCCUUGGGGAAUGUCUUCGUCAGUGAGCUGCUGGAAACUCUGGCCCAGCUGCGGGAGGACCGGCAAGUGCGUGUCCUGCUCUUCAGAAGUGGAGUGAAGGGCGUGUUCUGUGCAGGU